UACGUAGGGUGCGAGCGUUGUCCGGAAUUAUUGGGCGUAAAGAGCUUGUAGGCGGUUUGUCGCGUCUGCCGUGAAAUUUCGGGGCUCAACCCCGAACUUGCGGUGGGUACGGGCAGACUAGAGUGUGGUAGGGGAGACUGGAAUUCCUGGUGUAGCGGUGAAAUGCGCAGAUAUCAGGAGGAACACCGGUGGCGAAGGCGGGUCUCUGGGCCGAUACUGACGCUGAGGAGCGAAAGCGUGGGAGCGAACAGG
rnacentral:rRNA from 1 species